GGUCCCUUAGCUCAGUGGUAGAGCAUUGUACUUAUGAUGCAAGGGCCCCGAGUUCGACCCUCGGAGGGACCA